GCAGAGGCCCAAAUACUGAAAUGUUCUGUGACUGGAUAUCAUGUAUCGAAUCAGAACACAGGGACUCAGAAUCCUUAGUCCAGACUCAAGCUCAGGCAAACACAGACCACUGACUACAUAACGCCACUCAUCUGACCGGAAUGACCCAGCCAUUCUGGGUGGCUUCCAACAUAAUAAAAACACAGCAAAACAUCAGACAUUAAAAACUUCCUGAUAUAGUUAAACAAUACACAGUCUUUGGGGCAAAAUGUGACAAUGCUUGAGAAGUGAAGAGAUCUGCUGAUAGCACUGUAUCGAAUAAGAAUUCAGAGAGAGCUGCCGCAAUAAAGGACUCAGAAUGGAGAUAAAUUAAACGGGGGCAUGUGGAAAGUUGAAAAUCAAACAGAUUCUUCAAAUUCAAAUGUAUGGUAUUGUUGCUGCAAUCCAGAGCCACGAUGCAUACAAGAGGCAAAAUGUCGACAAUCUAGAUGGCAUGUCUUCUCACGAAGCAUAGGAAAUCCACAAAACCAGAAUCUUAAUAGGAUAUCCUUGGAGGACAAGCUCAGUUUCAUGUCACCAUCUUGGAAGAUUUCUGUGCGAGAGUCCACCAGCAAUUGAUGGAGUGUGGCAAAACUAUGAGAUGACAUUUCAACAGUUCAACUGAUCCCAUAGUUUAA